UACAAAGGGGGCUAGCGUUGCUCGGAAUUACUGGGCGUAAAGCGCACGUAGGCGGCUUCUUAAGUCGGAGGUGAAAUCCUGGAGCUCAACUCCAGAACUGCCUUCGAUACUGGGAAGCUCGAGUCCGGGAGAGGUGAGUGGAACUGCGAGUGUAGAGGUGAAAUUCGUAGAUAUUCGCAAGAACACCAGUGGCGAAGGCGGCUCACUGGCCCGGUACUGACGCUGAGGUGCGAAAGCGUGGGGAGCAAACAGG
rnacentral:rRNA from 1 species